UACAGAGGUCUCAAGCGUUGUUCGGAUUCAUUGGGCGUAAAGGGUGUGUAGGUGGCGCCGUAAGUCGGGUGUGAAAAUUUCGGAGCUUAACUCCGAAACUGCAUUCGAUACUGCGGUGCUUGAGGACUGGAGAGGAGACUGGAAUUCAUGGUGUAGCAGUGAAAUGCGUAGAGAUCAUGAGGAAGACCAGUGGCGAAGGCGGGUCUCUGGACAGUUCCUGACACUGAGGCACGAAGGCCAGGGGAGCAAACGGG
rnacentral:rRNA from 1 species